AAACCAAGUGAUAUCCUAUACAAUUCACUCGUUUCGUUUUAUGUUUCAGAUAACUGGAUUCCCAGUGCCCAGAACCAUGGCCGCACUUAAGAAAUCCCAGGUCAGUGUAUGUGGGAUGAGUAGCUGAAAAGGCCGUAUGUGAUCGGGCCUCGCCUACCUCUUCAGUCUUCACUUCUCUGCUCCCCCUUCAUGCGCCACAGACUGCAUUUCUGUCAUCAGAGUGCUUAGCAUCUAUUUCCCUUUCACUUGCCUGGGUUCUUAACUACACCGUAAACUCCAUGGCGUGGGGCUCUCACUAGCCAAAGUAUCUUCCACGUCCAUCACAGUGCCUGGCACCAGGGUUGGGGCCCCAUAAGUGCUUUUUUGAAUGAAUGAAAGUGUUUGUGGGAGUUCAGAAGGUUCUAAGUAAAGAGGAAGAUCACAUGUGGUUGGAUGGAUUGAUAAGAAAAUGCCUCGUGAAGAGGUGCCAUCUAAGUGAACCCUUUAAAAAGGUGGAGGGUGAGAGGUGACAGUGCCUUUAGGCUCUGAGGAUAACAGAGUGGGAAGAGUUGUUAAGUGGGUAGAACUCUACUUCUCUUUCCUUCCUUUUGCCUCCCUUCCUGAGCAAUUCAGUCCCCAUGCCAUUAAAACGGAUGGAGCGAGGUGUGUCGAGGCGGCUUAGAGUGAGGAUGCAGAGCCAGAGAACGGCAAGAAGACUGUCCCCGCGGAGCCCAGCAUCUGUGCAGUCAGACGCCAAGCAGAGGUCCUUCACCAUGAACUAGAUGGAAGUGUUUUCUGGAAACCCACAGACGUUUCCAUCCUUGACUGCCUCACUGAUAUCUGAGGAUGGAUCUGAGUAAGCCUUGUGAACAGGAAAUGGUGGCUGGAGCUCUGUCAUCUUGGACCAUAAGAUAACUCUGAGAAGUUGAGGAUGGUUUGUCUUUGUGACAAGAAGGAACUUGGACUCCGGCUUCUAGGGUUUUGGUUACCACCUCUAUGAUGAUGACUUUCCAUUCGGUAUAACGAGCCCAGACAUCUGCCUUGCAUGCCAGUCUUUUAUUUCUUGCUUCGUGAUUUACAUUUCCAUCCACAGCCCCUGUCUCCAUGAAACACCAUGCCCCAGUCCUGGACUGAUGACCUUGGGAUUUAUUGAACAAGAAAGAGAAAUAAGUUUCUGUUAUUUGAGGAUUUUUCUCUUGCUCACAACUAAAUUUAAUCCCAAUAAAUACAGUUAUUCAGCC